rnacentral:lncRNA from 1 species
AAGAGCCAUUCAUUUUCUGGUGUGGUUGCCAGAUAUUAGAGCAGCAGUUUAGUUCUCUCUAACCUUUCUAUCACUCACUCAGUCUCCCUGCAGGAAUCGUGUUAACUUUUACACACCCAGCAUAUCCCUCAUUAUAUUUUAAUAGCCAUGGUGCUGUACCUAAUGAGAAUAUACUAAUAUUUUGUAAAUAUAAUUUAUAUAAAUUAAACUGGUAUUUUGUGUUGUGUGUUAUGUAUAUUAAAUUCUUGGUCAGUGAUCUUUUUAGGGUGUCAUUUGUUGAUAGUAAUCUGCUUUUUAUAAUUUUAACAAACUGCUUCCCUCCUGGAAAAGUAACCCUUUCUUAAUUGUUGGCAUUUUAAACCUUAGAUAUUUUCAGGACAUGCAUCUUCAAUGAAGCUGGAAAUGUUACAGAUAAUCUCUCUAUAAAAUGUACAUUGCUGAGUAAUAUAAAUAUAAUAAUUUCUCAUUGACUUUAUGAUUUCAUAGAUGCUUUAUCUUCAUUUCUGAUCAUUACUUGACAGUUCUUUAAAUUCUUAGCUUUCUCUGUUCAUAAGCCUUCCCAUCAUGUAUUAAAUAAUGAAACUUAAAGGUGAAUACUUUCAUAAUGUAAAUUGUUUUCUAAUUUAUUUUUCAUAUG